CGUAGGUGAACCUGCGGAAGGAUCAUUACUGAGUGAGGGCCCUCUGGGUCCAACCUCCCACCCGUGUUUAUUAUACCUUGUUGCUUCGGUGAGCCCGCCUCACGGCCGCCGGGGGGCAUCUGCCCCCGGGCCCGCGCCCACCGAAGACACCUAGAACUCUGUAUGAAGAUUGCAGUCUGAGCAAAAACUAAAUAAGUUAAAACUUUCAACAACGGAUCUCUUGGUUCCG
rnacentral:misc_RNA from 1 species